GCCCCGGUGGCUCAGCGGAUAGAGCACCUGACUACGGAUCAGGAGGCCGCAGGUUCGAAUCCUGCCCGGGGCA
rnacentral:tRNA from 1 species